CGAAAGUCGAGCAACAUCCCAAGUGCAUGGUUCACGCUGUGCAUAGUAGUUCGUGUUAUGUCAGUCUAUACUCAUAUGGUAUUGUGUAAAUCAACGACUUAAAUACUUUUAGACUUACUUGCACCUGCAUAAUCAAAUUUGGGCAAAUAGGCCUCUAUUUUAAUAAACCCAGUGCCUAAAUGUAAUAAAACGUCUUAUUUUAUUGAACAAAUCGAAGUAAAAACAAAGAGUUGUCAAAUGUUCGACUUGUCGCCAAAAUCCAAGCAUUGUGAACAUCCUGACUCACAAGUCACAAAUUACUUCCUUGUUUGCUAACUGAUAGAGUUGAACAUACAGAUGAUACACCUUUUACAAGGUUCGAAGACGGCCGACAGUAACAUUUGACGAAGACCUCGCAUUACGUCACGGAAUUUACUCGUUCCAGACUCUUAGCCACUGAUGAGGUCCAUCAAAAAGUGCCAUUUUACUAAUUUUAAACUGUCAUAAAAUUCGGAGGAAAAAUCAUGCCAAGAUAGAAAUCAUGCCAAGAUUUGAUAUGGAUAAAAAAAUGG
rnacentral:lncRNA from 1 species